UCUUCAUUCUGCACACUCUCUCAACGGUCAAACAAGCGAGAGAGUGUGCAAAAUGAAGAGA
rfam:Pristionchus pacificus strain PS312 contig6747, whole genome shotgun sequence.